CGUGUAGGCGGUCGGUCAAGUCCGAUGUGAAAGCCCGGGGCUCAGCCCCCGGAAGUGCAUCGGAAACUAGCCGGCUGGAGCGCGAUAGAGGAGGGUGGAAUUCCUGGUGUAGCGGUGAAAUGCGUAGAUAUCAGGAGGAACACCGGCGGCGAAGGCGGCCCUCUGGAUCGUUGCUGACGCUGAGACGCGAAAGCGUGGGGAGCAAACAGGAUUAGAUACCCUGGUAGUCCACGCUGUAAACGAUGGGUACUAGGUGUUCGGGGUAUUGACCCCCUGAGUGCCGCAGCUAACGCAUUAAGUACCCCGCCUGGGGACUACGGCCGCAAGGUUAAA
rnacentral:rRNA from 1 species